AGACACUUUUAAGGCGUCACAAGUUACAAGCUCGAAGCCAAUAAUUUGGCGUUUGGCUGAGGUAAUAUCCGGACCGUACCAAGUAGCUUUAUCUGCAACUGUCAAUGUUCUGUUACAAGAUUAGUCUAGUGCUAGUACAACACAGCGGAACUCUAAAAAAAUAUUGUGCUGUUUUUUUUUCGAUACUUGUAAAAAUUUGUCGAUUACUUCAUUAAAAAUACGAAUUGUGUUUA